CCAGACUCCUACGGGAGGCAGCAGUGGGGAAUAUUGCACAAUGGGGGAAACCCUGAUGCAGCAACGCCGCGUGAGUGAGGAAGUAUUUCGGUAUGUAAAGCUCUAUCAGCAGGGAAUAGAAAAGAAGGUACCUGAAAAAGAAGCCCCGGCUAACUACGUGCCAGCAGCCGCGGUAAUACGUAGGGGGCAAGCGUUAUCCGGAUUUACUGGGUGUAAAGGGAGCGUAGACGGAAAGGCAAGUCAGAAGUGAAAGCCCGGGGCCCAACCCCGGGACUGCUCUUGGAACUGCGCGGCUGGAGUGCAGGAGGGGCAGGCGGAAUUCCUGGUGUAGCGGUGAAAUGCGUAGAUAUCAGGAGGAACACCGGUGGCGAAGGCGGCCUGCUGGACUGCGACUGACGUUGAGGCCCGAAAGCGUGGGGAGCAAACAGGAUUAGAUACCCGUGUAC
rnacentral:rRNA from 1 species